UGCAGGGUUUGAAAGCAUUUUGGAAGGGCUGUUCGGGCCGGGACUAGUCAAAGAUAUUACCCUUUUUCAAGAUUGCGAGCCCGAGGGACUGUUGGAUUGGUCGUUUGAUGUAAAUUGUCUUUUUGCUGCUUAAGACGAGAGAAAGUCAAGGAACACUUGGUUGGCAUCACCCCCCAGGUCUUAUCAGAGUCAGAGGACUUGAAACAGGACACGACCAAAAUCAACCGCCUGGAGAAGCAAGCCGAAGAGUUCCUCAAUGCUGUCUUCUACAGAAAGG